UUACGACCAUAUCACGUUGAAACACCCAUUCUCCUACGAUCACCGAAGUUAAGCAACGUCGAGCCUGGUCAGUACCUAGAUGGGUGACCGCUUUGAAAUACCAGGUAAUGUAAG
rnacentral:rRNA from 1 species